UACGUAGGGUGCAAGCGUUGUCCGGAAUUAUUGGGCGUAAAGAGCUCGUAGGCGGUUUGUCGCGUCGAAUGUGAAAACCCGGGGCUCAACCCCGGGCGUGCAUCCGAUACUGCCGGGCUUGAGGCAGGUAGGGGAGAUCGGAAUUCCUGGUGUAGCGGUGAAAUGCGCAGAUAUCAGGAGGAACACCGGUGGCGAAGGCGGAUCUCUGGGCCUGUCCUGACGCUGAGGCGCGAAAGCUAGGGGAGCGAACAGG
rnacentral:rRNA from 1 species